rnacentral:rRNA from 1 species
AUGGAACAGCAGCAAAGUAGUCUUCCAGUAUCUGAAGACAUUGUCUUCAAAUGUGGCGACAUUCCAGCUAAAGAGAGGCCUGCAGUGGAGCCAUUUGACCCAUCUAAAGUUGACCCAUGCAAAGGACAACCAUCUGGUGGUGGUGACAAAGAACCAAAGUCAUCUGGGCAAUCUGAUGGUAAUGAUCAAGAAGCAAAGACAUCUGGACCAUCUGAUGGUUAUGGUUGUGAUGACAUCCCGGGGAAUAAUCAUGAUGGUGAAAAAGACAACGAGAAUGAUCAUGAUAGCAACCCCGUACCAAGUACGAUUAGUAAAAUAACUGCUCCUUUCAUGCUAAGAUUGAUCAUCGGCAAGAGAUGUGUGCAACCCUUAAGCAACCAUCCAUCUAUUCCUUCACUUUUUUCUAUCAGUGGGAGUGGAAACCAUAAUUCGGUUCCUUUAGUUAGACCUGGUUUGCAUGAGGUGCCAGAACUGAUUAAUGGGAGUGAAACUGGUUGGGUUAAGAAUUUUGUUGAGCGAUGUAGGGCUAAUUUGAUCAGCAAACCUNNNNNNNNNNNNNNNNNNNNNNNNNNNNNNNNNNNNNNNNNNNNNNNNNNNNNNNNNNNNNNNNNNNNNNCCCUCCUGGAAAUAUUUGCUGUUCACACCAACCUAUGCAAGGUCAACACCAUUGGAGUUUAUGAUGAUCGAGGUGGUGUUUUAAUCUACAAGUACAAGAACAGAGAAAAGGAACAAUUUAUUGAGAAAAGAAACCGUUGGCAGUCAAAAAAUAUAGGAAGAGACCCUUAUGAUUUUAUGGUUAAACUUGUUCUCAUUGGCCCGAGCCGUGCUAUGUCAGCUUAUGCGGAUGGCUGGCUCAUCGAAGUUGAUGUGCCGCCAGAAUCCUCUUUGCUGCCUGAAAACCACGCAACAAAGAAAAUAGCUGGUGGAGUAUUCAAAAUGUCAUUAGAUCUGGAUGAUGACUUCCUCGACAAACCUAGGACUAGUAUCAUCUUCGCCAGAGGGGGAUUUGUGCAUUUCACCUAUGUGGUUUUCAAUAAUGCAGUCAAAGCUUCAGUUACAUUUAUGCUCCAUGCUCGUUGCCAAGAUAAUCUCCAAUUUGUUUGUCACUGUAAAGUGCAGGGUGAGCUGACAUUACAUGUUGGAAACCUUCCCAUCGGAUGCACUGUUUUCAUAAAUCAAGUUGAGGAUGAAGCCGUGUAUUUCAUGCCAUGCGAGAGUUUCAGAGAGAAUUGUCUAGGAUUAAAGCUUCCCUUAACCCGGAAUGUUCUUGCUUUACCUAUUGGAUCUCUUGUCUGUGCUAAGGGUACUUUGAUGGUGGGGAAUGAUAUGUCAAUGGUUGUAGAUCAGUCUUUUGUGCUCGAAGGAUAUACUUCCCAGACUCAGUGGCAGGUGGAUCAGUCUUUCGAUGCUACUAUAUGCAUCGUGUCAAGUUCUCUCUUCAUGGAGUGGUAA